UUAAGUCCCGCAACGAGCGCAACCCUUAUCUUUAGUAGCCAGCGGUUCGGCCGGGCACUCUAGAGAGACUGCCAGGGAUAACCUGGAGGAAGGUGGGGAUGACGUCAAAUCAUCAUGCCCCUUAUGAGCAGGGCUACACACGUGCUACAAUGGCGUAAACAAAGGGAGGCGAAGCCGCGAGGUGGAGCAAAUCCCAAAAAUAACGUCUCAGUUCGGAUUGUAGUCUGCAACUCGACUACAUGAAGCUGGAAUCGCUAGUAAUCGCGAAUCAGAAUGUCGCGGUGAAUACGUUCCCGGGUCUUGUACACACCGCCCGUCACACCAUGGGAGUUGGUAACGCCCGAAGUCAGUGACCCAACCGUAAGGAGGGAGCUGCCGAAGGUGGGACCGAUAACUGGGGUGAAGUCGUAACAAGGUAGCCGUAUCGGAAGGUGCGGCUGGAUCACCUCCUUUCUAAGGAA
rnacentral:rRNA from 1 species